rnacentral:rRNA from 1 species
AGAGUUUGAUCAUGGCUCAGGACGAACGCUGGCGGCGUGCUUAACACAUGCAAGUCGAGCGAGGCCCUUCCUUCGGGAAGGUGCCCUAGCGGCGAACGGGUGAGUAACACGUGGGCAACCUGCCCCUAGCACUGGGAUAACUCCGGGAAACCGGGGCUAAUACCGGAUACGACCUCAGAGGGCAUCCUCCGAGGUGGAAAAAUUUAUUGGCUAGGGAUGGGCCCGCGGCCUAUCAGCUUGUUGGUGAGGUAACGGCCCACCAAGGCUUCGACGGGUAGCCGGCCUGAGAGGGCGACCGGCCACACUGGGACUGAGACACGGCCCAGACUCCUACGGGAGGCAGCAGUGGGGAAUAUUGCACAAUGGGCGAAAGCCUGAUGCAGCGACGCCGCGUGAGGGACGAAGGCCUUCGGGUUGUAAACCUCUUUCAGCAGGGAAGAAGCGAAAGUGACGGUACCUGCAGAAGAAGCACCGGCUAACUACGUGCCAGCAGCCGCGGUAAUAACCUAAAUAGCUAGCUGU